rnacentral:lncRNA from 1 species
AUAGGUUUAUGAGAAGCUCAAGGACCAUCUACUGAUCCCUGUGAGCAAUUCUGAGAUGGAAAAGGUGGACGGCUUGCUCACCUGCUGCUCCGUUUUUAUUAACAAGAAGACAGACUCUUGAGCGGAAGAGUCCCUCCCGAGCGGCCGGCGAGUGGCCUAGGCCAGGCUGAUGAUGGCUCUGUACCCAUUCCUCCUGUUUCCUUUGACAAUCUACUGUGCCACUAACUCUUGUUUACAAAGAAUUCCAAUCUUAAUCGCCUCAUUUCCCCACACCCCCCUCUUCCUCACGGGGCCCCCUAACCUGUGCACACAUUUGCUCAAUGAACUAAGCAACCUAGGAAAUACAGAACUAACGAAUCAUUGGAAUGUGAUUGAUAGCGUGGAGGCACUCACUCCAGCCUCUGUGUCCUUAGUGUGGGAAUAGUUUAGAUGCAGGGCAUCCUGAAGGACUGACCUCCUGGGCAGACAGAUAAACAAGCAAGGGACUUUCUUUGCUUCAUGAGUUGCGUUUGGUUCCUGUGAGAGUCCUGAGAACGUGGAUUUUUUCCCAUUCCCCUCUCUUCUCACCUCUAAAACACUUUCUUCCAGGUCUUCCUUUGGCCUUCCUCACUUCUUUCGUAAUCACCUUGAACCUGGAUUUAUCCAAGGUCUCGAACUCUGGAUACCCUCCUAACGUCCACCCUGUCUACGUGCAGUCCUCUCCUCCUCACAGCCACAACUUCUGCCACCACCAGCAAAUCAGAGUGGCUGGUUGGAGACGAGGGACCUCACAGAGGCACAUCCUGACAGGGUUUCCCAUUAGCACACCUAGGAAGGUAAAUUCAGGUGGUUGAUACAGGAUGUUAGAUACAGAAGCCUAGAAACACCCCCAUGGGUACAUCUCAGAGAGACUGAGUCACUGCCAUGAUUUUGCCUCAUGACUGGUCCUAUAGGAGCGUGGAGGAAAGUCUUUCUCCACCCCACCACCUCCCCCUUUUUCAGCUUCCUUCUGACUCAACCUUGUAUCUACCCCCUUAGAAUCACCAUGAUUUUGAAAAGUCAUUUCCUUCAAAAAAAGGCAGAACAUCUAAUGAUUGUUGACGGUCUGGUAAGAGCUAGAGGGAACUGCCUCCACCCAAGGCCUAGGAGCACAAUCAGGAAAUGGUUCCUAAAGUCAACUUCAAACAAUGUGUGAGUCUCCUUUGAAAUAUCCAUGACUGUUUACUGUGGAAUUCAACCGAAACUUCAAAUUACACAACUUUCAGCAGACGCAGGUCUCUCACAGGGAACAAUACCACAGCAAAGGAAUUCCUUUCUUGAAAGCUGAAACAGGCCAAGGACAUGGUACCUUACAAGGCACGGUGACCCAGCCAGGCAUCUCAUCAAACUUCUGGUCACUUCUACCUUGGCUGUAUAGCCUGCAGUCUGUCAUUCGAUAUUUAAAGUUGGGGAGACAAAGGCUAUGUCAGCUCUAGCUCUCCUUACCUCUCUUUGUGAUCAGUGUUUCUUCUAGUGAAGGCAAGAGAGACUGGGCCUCAUCUCGUCCCCCUCAGUGGCCGGAAGUGAGAAAAUCAAGACUUCCUUUACCGCCCUUCUCUUAGUUGGCAACCUCUCUGAAGAGGUCUCCAUCCUUGGACUCCCUGUGUGAUACAGUGAUGUGAAAACUCAAAAUACAUGCAGCACGGCUCCUGUGAGGUCCUCAUCAGCGUGAUGAAAGGGAAAGAUGUCUUUACCCAAGUUCCCUUUGUGUCUCACGGAGACGGGAAGACUAACAAGAAGGCUUCUUAACAUCGUAAAGACAUGAGUUCCGUUGAACUAAGUAUAUAGGUUGGGUUAGAAUGAACGGGUCCAUGUGGGUUGGUCUAGUGAAGAGAUGAGCUAGAUGCAAUGUGUCAUUUAGCGUUAUGUCUUUAACCGGUGGGCUGCUGUAAGAAUCGGUGGCAGUUCUCUCUCUGCCGUGUGUUAAUUGCUCUGGAACGCUACUAGGACCCGAAUACUAAGGCCACAUCUCUACGUCUCUAAGAAGGGGAAAUAAGAUAGGCUUUAGUCUCACAGUGUGGCCUAGGUGGGGUUGCAUGUUACUCCCUAACACGCUACAGAAUUCAGACAUAGUUUCUGUGUGGUGGUAGGUCUGUGCUUUUUUUAUCGUCUUGCCUGCCAUCUUCCAGCCAGUGUAUGGUUUAUCCAGUCUGUGUGCCAAAGCCAGCCAUGUCUCCCACGACCCGUUAGUCCAGAGGAGUUCUGCCCCAACACUAGUUUCCAGCUGCCCACUCCUAAUGUACACCAAUCAAGACAGAAUAAAAUUUGAGUUGUUCGGUGCCCA